rnacentral:rRNA from 1 species
UACGGAGGGUGCAAGCGUUAUCCGGAUUCACUGGGUUUAAAGGGUGCGUAGGCGGGCAGGUAAGUCCGUGGUGAAAUCUCUGAGCUUAACUCAGAAACUGCCAUGGAUACUAUUUGUCUUGAAUGUUGUGGAGGUAAGCGGAAUAUGUCAUGUAGCGGUGAAAUGCUUAGAUAUGACAUAGAACACCCAUUGCGAAGGCAGCUCGCUACACUAUCAUUGACGCUGAGGCACGAAAGCGUGGGGAUCAAACAGG